UGGAGGGCAAGUCUGGUGCCAGCAGCCGCGGUAAUUCCAGCUCCAAUAGCGUAUAUUAAAGUUGUUGCAGUUAAAAAGCUCGUAGUUGAAUUUCGAGAUCAGUACGCUGGUCGUGCCUUUGGUAUGCACUGGUGUCACUGGUUUCUCCCUUCUGAAGAACCGUCAUGUCAUUAAGUUGGUGUGGCGGGGAAUCAGGACUGUUACUUUGAAAAAAUUAGAGUGUUUAAAGCAGGCUCGCGCUUGAAUACAUUAGCAUGGAAUAAUGAAAUAGGACGUUUGACCCUAUUUUGUUGGUUUCUAGGAUCGACGUAAUGAUUAAUAGGGAUAGUUGGGGGCAUUAGUAUUCAAUUGUCAGAGGUGAAAUUCUUGGAUUUAUUGAAGACUAACUACUGCGAAAGCAUUUGCCAAGGAUGUUUUCAUUAAUCAAGAACGAAAGUUAGGGGAUCGAAGACGAUCAGAUACCGUCGUAGUC
rnacentral:rRNA from 1 species